rnacentral:lncRNA from 1 species
GUGGGAAGAAUGAAGAGGAAGCAUCUUCUGAAUCUUCAGUUUAUUUCACACAUGUGUUUUCUAUGUUUUGAACUGCUCUCAGGUUGAGCCUUCAAUUUCUUGUAGUCCAAGAAAAAGACAUUUUUUAUCCAGUGGGCUGAAUUGUGUUCAAUAAAAAGUUCAAAUCCUAACCUCUGGUACCUCAAUAUGACCCUAGUUGAAAAUAAUAUUUGCAGAUGUAAUCAAGUUAUGAUGGGGUCACAAUGGAGGGUGGAUCCUCCAAUGACUGGUGUCCAUAUAAGGAAAGGAAAAUCUGGCCACGGAGACACAGGUAAGAAUGCUGUGUGAAGACAGAGACAGAGGCUGAGUGAUCUGUCUCUAAGCCAAGGAACUACAAAGAUUGCCAGCAAUCACUGGAUGCUAAGAGGCAUGGGACAGCUUCUCCCUUACCACCUCCAGACAGUUUGCUGAAACCUUGAUUUUGGAUUCAGCCUUCCUAACUAUGAGAGAAUAAAUUUCUACCUUUUAAAGCUACCAAACUUGUGAUAAUUUGUUGUCAACACAAAGAAAUCAAUACAUCCAGCAUAUCCAACUUUGAUAUCAAAUGCCUGCCUGAUGAUGUGCACCAACUGCCACCCCAAUUCAACCACUGCCUUCCUUGUUAUAGACUAUCAAGAACAUGAGUGUUUAUCACCCAAGGAAUUUGCAUCCUCUUCUGAUAAAAAGGGUCUUGCUCGGUCACCUAGGCUGAGGUGCAGUGGCACAGUGACAGUUCACUAUAACCUUGAACACCUGGGUUCAAGUGAUCUUCCUGCCUUGGCCUUCCAGAGGGCUUGGAUUACAGAGUCUUCCUGUUUACUCACUAUGGACCCAACCUCUCGGUGA